GGCGACGUGGUGCAAUGGUUAGCACGUUAAGAAAACGGCAUUAUUAUCGUAUUCUUGAAGGUCCUAGUUCGACUCCAGGCGCUGCUG